rnacentral:rRNA from 1 species
AAAUGAACUUGCUUAUUGCACCACAUGUGUUUUUCUUUGAAACAAACUUGCUUUGGCGGUGGGCCCAGCCUGCCGCCAGAGGUCUAAACUUACAACCAAUUUUUUAUCAACUUGUCACACCAGAUUAUUACUAAUAGUCAAAACUUUCAACAACGGAUCUCUUGGUUCUCGCAUCGAUGAAGAACGCAGCGAAAUGCGAUACGUAAUAUGAAUUGCAGAUAUUCGUGAAUCAUCGAAUCUUUGAACGCACAUUGCGCCCUCUGGUAUUCCGGAGGGCAUGCCUGUUUGAGCGUCGUUUCUCCCUCAAACCGCUGGGUUUGGUGUUGAGCAAUACGACUUGGGUUUGCUUGAAAGACGGUAGUGGUAAGGCGGGAUCGCUUUGACAAUGGCUUAGGUCUAACCAAAAACAUUGCUUGCGGCGGUAACGUCCACCACGUAUAUCUUCAAACUUUGACCUCAAAUCAGGUAGGACUACCCGCUGAACUUAAGCAUAUCAAAAGCCGGAGGAA